UACGGAGGGAGCUAGCGUUGUUCGGAAUUACUGGGCGUAAAGCGCGCGUAGGCGGCCAGAUAAGUCCGGUGUGAAAGUCACAGGCUCAACCUGUGAAUGCCGCUGGAAACUGUCUGGCUUGAGUCCGGAAGGGGCGAGUGGAAUUCCUGGUGUAGCGGUGAAAUGCGUAGAUAUCUGGAGGAACACCGGUGGCGAAGGCGGCAUCCUGGACCGACACUGACGCUGAGGAGCGAAAGCCAGGGGAGCAAACGGGG
rnacentral:rRNA from 1 species